GUCGUGCAUUGGAAACUGGCGGACUCGAGUACAUGAGGGGAAAGCGGAAUCCUGGUGUAGCGGUGGAAUGCGUAGAUAUCAGGAAGAACACCGGCGGCGAAGGCGGCUUUCUGGCAUGUAACUGACCCUGAGGGACGAAAGCGUGGGUAGCGAACAGGAUUAGAUACCCUGGUAGUCCACGCUGUAAACGUUGUGCGCUCGAUGUGGGACCUGUCGUUUCGGCGGGUUCCGUGUCCAAGCCAACGCGUUAAGCGCACCGCCUGGGGACUACGGUCGCAAGGCUAAAACUCAAAGGAAUUGACGGGGGCCCGCACAAGCGGUGGAGCAUGUGGCUUAAUUCGAGGCAACGCGAAGAACCUUACCUGGGUUUGACAUUGAGCGACCGGUGCAGAGAUGCA
rnacentral:rRNA from 1 species